rnacentral:lncRNA from 1 species
GUAUCCAUGCUUUCUUUAUCUUAUUCUUGAAUACCCACGCAGAUUGGGAGAUCAUUUGUUGUUUCAAGGUUGAAGGUGAUCUGCAUAUUCAUGAACUUGUCAAUUUAAUAUGUUCUUAGUUGAAGUUGCAGAAGGGUUGCAGUGAAUUUGUGGAGAUUUUUGUAUGGUAAAUUAUGACUGCAAACCCCUUGAAAAUCUACUUUUCCCAGGUAUUUAUAUGAUCAUAUCUUAGUGUUGUCCUCAACUCUAAUCACUUUAACAGUUGGACUUGAGUUAAACGUUAUUCUUACGAAAUUUAUGGGUUUGAUUUUGGGGUGCAGGUUGCAGCUGAUGAUCAGAUUCAAGUUAUUGAGAUGAUUAAGCUCUUGGAAACAAAGGGUUCGAAGACUUUUUAAAGUUUGGC